rnacentral:rRNA from 1 species
GAUGAACGCUGGCGGCGUGCUUAACACAUGCAAGUCGAACGGUGAAGGCGGAGCUUGCUCUGCUGGAUCAGUGGCGAACGGGUGAGUAACACGUGAGCAAUCUGCCCCUGACUCUGGGAUAAGCGCUGGAAACGGCGUCUAAUACUGGAUACGAGCUGCGAAGGCAUCUUCAGCAGCUGGAAAGAACUUCGGUCAGGGAUGAGCUCGCGGCCUAUCAGCUUGUUGGUGAGGUAACGGCUCACCAAGGCGUCGACAGGUAGCCGGCCUGAGAGGGUGACCGGCCACACUGGGACUGAGACACGGCCCAGACUCCUACGGGAGGCAGCAGUGGGGAAUAUUGCACAAUGGGCGAAAGCCUGAUGCAGCAACGCCGCGUGAGGGACGACGGCCUUCGGGUUGUAAACCUCUUUUAGCAGGGAAGAAGCGAAAGUGACGGUACCCGCAGAAAAAGCGCCGGCUAACUACGUG